GCCCCCUAAGCAUAGAAUACUGGCGAUACAUAUACGAAACAGUAAAAUAAACGGUCGCUCCAGAAAGCCGGGCCAAGCUUGAUAACUCCGGCGGUAGCGUUGGUAUUGGUAUUGGUGUGGUGGUAGUUGUGGUGGUAGUGGCUCUCGGACCGGAUAAAAGCCUUCCAAGCUUCCGAGGUUAAGAAUCAAAAGGGCCGCGGACAACAUCUCACCCGAAACUCUAGCCACCGGCGGAUCAGCGGCGGGAUUGGAAGGAUGAAAUCCGGGAGAGGCUCGACUGAAUUUAACUCAACGACUCCAGAGAGCAAACCCGAAGAGAGUUGCGACUAAG
rnacentral:sRNA from 2 species